rnacentral:snRNA from 1 species
AGCUUUGCGCAGUGGCAGUAUCGUAGCCCAUGAGGUCAAUCCAAGGCGUGAUUAUUGCUAAUUGAAAACUUUACCCAAUACUGAUGACUUGAAAUACAGUCAGCACUGGCAAUUUUUGACAGGCUCUGAGGAGA